GGGCACAGAGGAAGCAGAAGGUCUGGUAUGACCGCUCCGCACGUGCCCGCUCCUAUGAUACCGGGGACCAGAUGAUGCUUCUCAUACCUGUGAGGAAGAACAAGCUGCAACCUGCCUGGGAUGGCCCCUUCAAGGUCAUCAGACAGGACUGAAUGUCUUGUAAAAUAUAGAAGAUACAUUGGGACAGAAGUUCAAAUUACUCCAACCUGGGAAAAUCCAUUGGCUUUCUCAUGAGCGAUCCUUGGCUGUUGUCUUAAAAUUACUGCAACCAUUAUUGGUGGCUUUGGAAAGUAUCUACCGAGAUGGGACGGAUCUAAGUAGUAAGGCUGGUGGACUACUUUUGCUACUAAAUUCAUAGAACACAAUCGCCAUUCUCUCUUAUAAGUCUACUGUUGAAACCACUUAGGUCAUUAAACAAUGCCAUCCAGACAUCUGCUACAAUAGUAAUAGAUCUCUGUCCAGCACUGGAAGCUACACUUGGAUCAGAGUGAUAUCCAUUGAAAACAUACUGGAAGAAGCAAAGACUUCAGUUCAGAAGUUAACUAAUUAAGGCACUUAUAUUAACUGCUUAAAUGAAGAAGACAAGAAGUGUUUGUUAAGCCAGCUGAAAAAGUAAAGUACACAGACUUGAUUCUUACAUCUCUACACAACUACUUUUGGAUUCCAUCAACCUAGCUUUUACAGAUGCCUGUCUUAUAAAACACCAACAGUUGAGUGGAAUGAGGCACUACCAGCAAUGGGGCUGCCAUAUGACCACUACAGAAUAGAGAAUUUGAACACAGAGAGGAAUAUUGUCUGAUGAAUGAAUGCAGAUUUGAUUUCAACUUCUUCAUCAUCACUAAUAGUUCGACCCAAUUUUUGUGCUGUUUCCUGGGAUGAAAGAAGUAGGAAUUCAUCUCUUUCUACUCCCAGUCACAACAGCUACAGUUGAGUGUUCUUUUUCCUCAUUGAAUAGAAUUUUGUGUUCUGAAAGAAGUCGCCUUCUGCCUGAUCAUGAGAAUAUCAUGAAGGACUGAAAGUACCUGACACA